rnacentral:lncRNA from 1 species
ACCGGGCGCGCCCGCCAGGCCACUUCCUUCCCCUCCCGCCCGGCCCGCCGAGCUCGCGAGGGCCCCCGGGGGCCGGGAGGCGCGGGAGGAAGGAGGUUUGGCCGGCUGCCCGCGGAGGAAGCCGCCGCCGCCGCCCGCACCCACCGGCAUCAUCGCGGCGCGGGUCCGCGGCGCCCUCGGCCGCCUGACAGGACGCUCGGCGCCGCGCCGUGCCCGCCGCCCGGUCGCCCUCACAGGCCGCGCGCCCGCCGCCGCGUUCUCUGGCCUUCACGGGGAGGCGGCGGCUGCGGCGGGCUGCGGAGUCUGGCCGGUUCUGUCGCGGCCGCCGGCGCGCUGCGUCGCUGUCCCGGGACCGGCUGCCGCCGCCGCCGCCGCCUCCUCCGGCCGCCCGCCUCCCGCCGCCAGCCCGCGGACUCUCCUCAGCGCCCGCAGGCCCCGCCCCCAGCGCGUCGCCCCUCACGGGGCCCGCCGCCCCCUCCGAUUGGUCCGCCCGCGCCGGGGCGGGCAUUCCGCCCGCCCCGCCCCGCCUCGUUCCCGAGCGCGGCCAGGUACGAGCGCGUCCGCGCUCCCGCGGAAGGCGGAGGGGCGUGCGCGCUGCGGAAGCCGCCGCCGCCGCCCGCACCCACCGGCAUCAUCGCGGCGCGGGUCCGCGGCGCCCUCGGCCGCCUGACAGGACGCUCGGCGCCGCGCCGUGCCCGCCGCUCCGGUCGCCCUCACAGGCCGCGCGCCCGCCGCCGCGUUCUCUGGCCUUCACGGGGAGGCGGCGGCUGCGGCGGGCUGCGGAGUCUGGCCGGUUCUGUCGCGGCCGCCGGCGCGCUGCGUCGCUGUCCGGGACCGGCUGCCGCCGCCGCCGCCGCCUCCUCCGGCCGCCCGCCUCCCGCCGCCAGCCCGCGGACUCUCCUCAGCGCCCGCAGGCCCCGCCCCAGCGCGUCGCCCCUCACGGGGCCCGCCGCCCCCUCCGAUUGGUCCGCCCGCGCCGGGGGCCGGGCAUUCCCGGCCCGCCCCGCCCCGCCUCGUUCCCGAGCGCGGCCAGGUACGAGCGCGUCCGCGCUCCCGCGGAAGGCGGAGGGGCGUGCGCGCUGCGGAAGCCGGGCCGCUGCCCCGCCCCGCUGGCCGGCUUGUGGGGCCCUGGCCGUGCGCUGCCGCUCCUCCGAGACCUAG